rnacentral:rRNA from 1 species
UCAAAAACAUGUCCUUUUGAUUUUAUUUAAGGUCGGGCCUGCUCAAUGAUUAUUUAAAUAGCCGCAGUAAAUUAACUGUGCUAAGGUAGCAUAAUAAUUAGUCUUUUAAUUGAGGUCUGGAAUGAAUGGUUUGACGAAAAAAAUUCUUUAUUAAUUAGAUUUUUUUGAAUUUAUAUUUUUAGUUAAAAUUCUAAAAUGUUAAAGAGGGACGAUAAGACCCUAUAGAUCUUUAUAAUUUUAUUUAUAUUAAUUUUUUAGUUGUUUAUUUUUAUAUAAUUAAUUUUAUUUUGUUGGGGUGACAACUAAAAUUUUAAACUUUAGUUUAUUUUUACAUUUUUUUAUGUUUUUUUUGAUCCAUAAAUUUUGAUUAUAAGAAUAAGAUACCUUAGGGAUAACAGCGUUAUUCAUUUGGAGAGUUCUAAUCGAUAAAUGAGUUUGCGACCUCGAUGUUGGAUUAAAAUAUAUUCAUGGGGUAGGUUUUAUGAAAUUAGGUCUGUUCGACCUUUAAAAUU